rnacentral:rRNA from 1 species
UUAAGCGACUAAGCGUACACGGUGGAUGCCCUGGCAGUCAGAGGCGAUGAAGGACGUGCUAAUCUGCGAUAAGCGUCGGUAAGGUGAUAUGAACCGUUAUAACCGGCGAUUUCCGAAUGGGGAAACCCAGUGUGAUUCGUCACACUAUCAUUAACUGAAUCCAUAGGUUAAUGAGGCGAACCGGGGGAACUGAAACAUCUAAGUACCCCGAGGAAAAGAAAUCAACCGAGAUUCCCCCAGUAGCGGCGAGCGAACGGGGAGCAGCCCAGAGCCUGAAUCAGUGUGUGUGUUAGUGGAAGCGUCUGGAAAGGCGCGCGAUACAGGGUGACAGCCCCGUACACAAAAAUGCACAUGCUGUGAGCUCGAUGAGUAGGGCGGGACACGUGGUAUCCUGUCUGAAUAUGGGGGGACCAUCCUCCAAGGCUAAAUACUCCUGACUGACCGAUAGUGAACCAGUACCGUGAGGGAAAGGCGAAAAGAACCCCGGCGAGGGGAGUGAAAAAGAACCUGAAACCGUGUACGUACAAGCAGUGGGAGCACGCUUAGGCGUGUGACUGCGUACCUUUUGUAUAAUGGGUCAGCGACUUAUAUUCUGUAGCAAGGUUAACCGAAUAGGGGAGCCGAAGGGAAACCGAGUCUUAACUGGGCGUUAAGUUGCAGGGUAUAGACCCGAAACCCGGUGAUCUAGCCAUGGGCAGGUUGAAGGUUGGGUAACACUAACUGGAGGACCGAACCGACUAAUGUUGAAAAAUUAGCGGAUGACUUGUGGCUGGGGGUGAAAGGCCAAUCAAACCGGGAGAUAGCUGGUUCUCCCCGAAAGCUAUUUAGGUAGCGCCUCGUGAAUUCAUCUCCGGGGGUAGAGCACUGUUUCGGCAAGGGGGUCAUCCCGACUUACCAACCCGAUGCAAACUGCGAAUACCGGAGAAUGUUAUCACGGGAGACACACGGCGGGUGCUAACGUCCGUCGUGAAGAGGGAAACAACCCAGACCGCCAGCUAAGGUCCCAAAGUCAUGGUUAAGUGGGAAACGAUGUGGGAAGGCCCAGACAGCCAGGAUGUUGGCUUAGAAGCAGCCAUCAUUUAAAGAAAGCGUAAUAGCUCACUGGUCGAGUCGGCCUGCGCGGAAGAUGUAACGGGGCUAAACCAUGCACCGAAGCUGCGGCAGCGACGCUUAUGCGUUGUUGGGUAGGGGAGCGUUCUGUAAGCCUGUGAAGGUGUACUGUGAGGUAUGCUGGAGGUAUCAGAAGUGCGAAUGCUGACAUAAGUAACGAUAAAGCGGGUGAAAAGCCCGCUCGCCGGAAGACCAAGGGUUCCUGUCCAACGUUAAUCGGGGCAGGGUGAGUCGACCCCUAAGGCGAGGCCGAAAGGCGUAGUCGAUGGGAAACAGGUUAAUAUUCCUGUACUUGGUGUUACUGCGAAGGGGGGACGGAGAAGGCUAUGUUGGCCGGGCGACGGUUGUCCCGGUUUAAGCGUGUAGGCUGGUUUUCCAGGCAAAUCCGGAAAAUCAAGGCUGAGGCGUGAUGACGAGGCACUACGGUGCUGAAGCAACAAAUGCCCUGCUUCCAGGAAAAGCCUCUAAGCAUCAGGUAACAUCAAAUCGUACCCCAAACCGACACAGGUGGUCAGGUAGAGAAUACCAAGGCGCUUGAGAGAACUCGGGUGAAGGAACUAGGCAAAAUGGUGCCGUAACUUCGGGAGAAGGCACGCUGAUAUGUAGGUGAAGUCCCUCGCGGAUGGAGCUGAAAUCAGUCGAAGAUACCAGCUGGCUGCAACUGUUUAUUAAAAACACAGCACUGUGCAAACACGAAAGUGGACGUAUACGGUGUGACGCCUGCCCGGUGCCGGAAGGUUAAUUGAUGGGGUUAGCGCAAGCGAAGCUCUUGAUCGAAGCCCCGGUAAACGGCGGCCGUAACUAUAACGGUCCUAAGGUAGCGAAAUUCCUUGUCGGGUAAGUUCCGACCUGCACGAAUGGCGUAAUGAUGGCCAGGCUGUCUCCACCCGAGACUCAGUGAAAUUGAACUCGCUGUGAAGAUGCAGUGUACCCGCGGCAAGACGGAAAGACCCCGUGAACCUUUACUAUAGCUUGACACUGAACAUUGAGCCUUGAUGUGUAGGAUAGGUGGGAGGCUUUGAAGUGUGGACGCCAGUCUGCAUGGAGCCGACCUUGAAAUACCACCCUUUAAUGUUUGAUGUUCUAACGUGGACCCGUAAUCCGGGUUGCGGACAGUGUCUGGUGGGUAGUUUGACUGGGGCGGUCUCCUCCUAAAGAGUAACGGAGGAGCACGAAGGUUGGCUAAUCCUGGUCGGACAUCAGGAGGUUAGUGCAAUGGCAUAAGCCAGCUUGACUGCGAGCGUGACGGCGCGAGCAGGUGCGAAAGCAGGUCAUAGUGAUCCGGUGGUUCUGAAUGGAAGGGCCAUCGCUCAACGGAUAAAAGGUACUCCGGGGAUAACAGGCUGAUACCGCCCAAGAGUUCAUAUCGACGGCGGUGUUUGGCACCUCGAUGUCGGCUCAUCACAUCCUGGGGCUGAAGUAGGUCCCAAGGGUAUGGCUGUUCGCCAUUUAAAGUGGUACGCGAGCUGGGUUUAGAACGUCGUGAGACAGUUCGGUCCCUAUCUGCCGUGGGCGCUGGAGAAUUGAGGGGGGCUGCUCCUAGUACGAGAGGACCGGAGUGGACGCAUCACUGGUGUUCGGGUUGUCAUGCCAAUGGCACUGCCCGGUAGCUAAAUGCGGAAGAGAUAAGUGCUGAAAGCAUCUAAGCACGAAACUUGCCCCGAGAUGAGUUCUCCCUGACUCCUUGAGAGUCCUGAAGGAACGUUGAAGACGACGACGUUGAUAGGCCGGGUGUGUAAGCGCAGCGAUGCGUUGAGCUAACCGGUACUAAUGAACCGUGAGGCUUAACCU